rnacentral:rRNA from 1 species
GAUGAACGCUAGCUACAGGCUUAACACAUGCAAGUCGAGGGGUAACGAGAGGAAAGCUUGCUUUCCUUGUCGACGACCGGCGCACGGGUGAGUAACGCGUAUCCAACCUGCCUCCAACUAGGGAAUAACCUUGCGAAAGUAAGACUAAUACCCUAUAAUUUCCUCAGAUGACAUCUGACGAGGAAUAAAGAUUUAUCGGUUGUGGAUGGGGAUGCGUCUGAUUAGCUUGUUGGCGGGGUAACGGCCCACCAAGGCAACGAUCAGUAGGGGUUCUGAGAGGAAGGUCCCCCACAUUGGAACGGAGACACGGUCCAAACUCCUACGGGAGGCAGCAGUGAGGAAUAUUGGUCAAUGGGCGGAAGCCUGAACCAGCCAAGUAGCGUGCAGGAUGACGGCCCUAUGGGUUGUAAACUGCUUUUAUACAGGAAUAAAGUUAGCCACGUGUGGUUAUUUGUAGGUACUGUAUGAAUAAGGACCGGCUAAUUCCGUGCCAGCAGCCGCAGUAA